rnacentral:tRNA from 1 species
GCGGGCGUGGCGGAAUGGCAGACGCGCCGGACUUAGGAUCCGGUGGGGCAACCCGUGGGAGUUCAAGUCUCCCCGCCCGCA